rfam:Felis catus isolate Cinnamon breed Abyssinian chromosome C2, whole genome shotgun sequence.
GCCUGGGUGGCUCAGUCGGUUAGGCGUCCGACUUCAGCUCAGGUCACUAUCUCACUGUCCGUGGGUUCGAGCCCCACGUCGGGCU